AUUGAACGCUGGCGGCAGGCCUAACACAUGCAAGUCGAACGAGUGGCGGACGGGUGAGUAAUGUCUGGGAAACUGUCCGAUGGAGGGGGAUAACUCCUGGAAACGGUAGCUAAUACCGCAUACCACCGCAUGUGCCCAGAUGGGAUUAGCUAGUAGGUGGGGGAACGGCUCACCUAGGCGACGAGCCCUAGCGGGUCUGAGAGGAUGACCAGCCACACGGGAACUGAGACACGGUCCAGAAUCCUACGGGAGGCAGCAGUGGGGAAUAUUGCACAAUGGGCGCAAGCCUGAUGCAGCCAUGCCGCGUGUAUGAAGAAGGCCUUCGGGUUGUAAAGUACUUUCAGCGAGGAGGCGUUACCCGCAGAAGAAGCACCGGCUAACUCCGUGCCAGCCGCCGCGGUAAUUC
rnacentral:rRNA from 1 species